rnacentral:rRNA from 1 species
UACGUAGGUGGCAAGCGUUGUCCGGAAUUAUUGGGCGUAAAGCGCGCGCAGGUGGUUUCUUAAGUCUGAUGUGAAAGCCCACGGCUCAACCGUGGAGGGUCAUUGGAAACUGGGGAACUUGAGUGCAGAAGAGGAAAGUGGAAUUCCAAGUGUAGCGGUGAAAUGCGUAGAGAUUUGGAGGAACACCAGUGGCGAAGGCGACUUUCUGGUCUGUAACUGACACUGAGACACGAAGGCCAGGGGAGCAAACGGGG